GAAUGACUCUCGGUAAAGGAUAUCUCGGCUCUUGCAUCGAUGAAGAACGUAGCGAAAUGCGAUACUUGGUGUGAAUUGCAGAAUCCCGUGAACCAUCGAGUCUUUGAACGCAAGUUGCGCGCGAAGCCAUUAGGCCGAGGGCACGCCUGCCUGGGUGUCACAC
rnacentral:rRNA from 1 species